AAAGAAACUAACAAGGAUUCCCCUAGUAACGGCGAGUGAAGAGGGAAGAGCUCAAAUUUUAAAUCUGCCUUGUUUCAAGGUCGAGUUGUAAUUUGAAGAAGCGUUUUCUUGGGCUCGCGGCCGGUAGAAGUUCUUUGGAACAGGACAUCAUAGAGGGUGACAAUCCCGUCUGCGACCGGUCGUGCGUUCAUCUACGAUACGCUUUCAAAGAGUCGAGUUGUUUGGGAUUGCAGCUCCAAAUGGGUGGUAAGCAUCACCUAAGGCUAAAUAUUGGCGAGAGACCGAUAGCGAACAAGUACCGUGAGGGAAAGAUGAAAAGAACUUUGAAAAGAGAGUUAAACAGUACGCGAAAUUGUUGAAAGGGAAACGAUUGAAGUCAGUCGUGCUGGCGCGAAAUCAACCCUCUCGUCGAGAGGACACAUGGCGUGGCGAGCCUCAAAACCGUCACGAAGCGUGAACUCUUGGCGAAAAGGAGCACUUUCGUGUCCGCUGGUUAACAUCAAUUUCGAACGUCAUAAAAAGGCUGGAGGGAUGUGGCUCCUUCGGGAGUGUUAUAACCUUUAGCGGAAUGUGGUGGUCGGGAUUGAGGAUUGCAACGACUACCUUUAGGGCUGUUCCACCUGGCCUCUCUUUGGUAUCCUGGUGACGACAGCUUGCUGACGUUGUUAGGAUUCGCCAUUGAACAGGCUAGAGUGUGAGCAAAUUCGUUAAGGAUGUUGACGUA
rnacentral:rRNA from 1 species